rnacentral:rRNA from 1 species
GAUGAACGCUGGCGGCGUGCCUAAUACAUGCAAGUCGAGCGAACAGACGAGGAGCUUGCUCCUCUGACGUUAGCGGCGGACGGGUGAGUAACACGUGGAUAACCUACCUAUAAGACUGGGAUAACUUCGGGAAACCGGAGCUAAUACCGGAUAAUAUAUUGAACCGCAUGGUUCAAUAGUGAAAGACGGUUUUGCUGUCACUUAUAGAUGGAUCCGCGCCGCAUUAGCUAGUUGGUAAGGUAACGGCUUACCAAGGCAACGAUGCGUAGCCGACCUGAGAGGGUGAUCGGCCACACUGGAACUGAGACACGGUCCAGACUCCUACGGGAGGCAGCAGUAGGGAAUCUUCCGCAAUGGGAGAAAGCCUGACGGAGCAACGCCGCGUGAGUGAUGAAGGUCUUCGGAUCGUAAAACUCUGUUAUUAGGGAAGAACAAAUGUGUAAGUAACUAUGCACGUCUUGACGGUACCUAAUCAGAAAGCCACGGCUAACUACGUG